GAUGAACGCUGGCGGCGUGCCUAAUACAUGCAAGUCGAGCGAACGGACGAGAAGCUUGCUUCUCUGAUGUUAGCGGCGGACGGGUGAGUAACACGUGGAUAACCUACCUAUAAGACUGGGAUAACUUCGGGAAACCGUAGCUAAUACCGGAUAAUAUUUUGAACCGCAUGGUUCAAAAGUGAAAGACGGUCUUGCUGUCACUUAUAGAUGGAUCCGCGCUGCAUUAACUAGUUGGUAAGGUAACGGCUUACCAAGGCAACGAUGCAUAGCCGACCUGAGAGGGUGAUCGGCCACACUGGAACUGAGACACGGUCCAGACUCCUACGGGAGGCAGCAGUAGGGAAUCUUCCGCAAUGGGCGAAAGCCUGACGGAGCGACGCCGCGUGAGUGAUGAAGGUCUUCGGAUCGUAAAACUCUGUUAUUAGGGAAGAACAUAUGUGUAAGUAACUGUGCACAUCUUGACGGUACCUAAUCAGAAAGCCACGGCUAACUACGUG
rnacentral:rRNA from 1 species